UACGUAGGGGGCAAGCGUUGUCCGGAUUUAUUGGGCGUAAAGAGCUCGUAGGCGGUUCGGUAAGUCAGGUGUGAAAUCUCCACGCUCAACGUGGAGGCGCCACCUGAAACUGCCGUGACUCGAGUCCGGUAGGGGAGUGUGGAAUUCCCGGUGUAGCGGUGAAAUGCGCAGAUAUCGGGAGGAACACCGGUGGCGAAGGCGGUUCUCUGGGAAUGACCUGACGCUGAGGAGCGAAAGUGUGGGGAGCGAACAGG
rnacentral:rRNA from 1 species